rnacentral:rRNA from 2 species
GAUACCCUGGUAGUCCACGCUGUAACGAUGAGUGCUAAGUGUUAGAGGUUUCCGCCCUUUAGUGCUGAAGUUAACGCAUUAAGCACUCCGCUGGGGAGUACGGUCGCAAGACUGAAACUCAAAGGAAUUGACGGGGGCCCGCACAAGUGGUGGAGCAUGUGGUUUAAUUCGAAGCAACGCGAAGAACCUUACCAGGUCUUGACAUCCUCUGACAACCCUAGAGAUAGGGCUUUCCCUUCGGGGACAGAGUGACAGGUGGUGCAUGGUUGUCGUCAGCUCGUGUCGUGAGAUGUUGGGUUAAGUCCCGCAACGAGCGCAACCCUUGAUCUUAGUUGCCAGCAUUCAGUUGGGCACUCUAAGGUGACUGCCGGUGACAAACCGGAGGAAGGUGGGGAUGACGUCAAAUCAUCAUGCCCCUUAUGACCUGGGCUACACACGUGCUACAAUGGAUAGUACAAAGGGUUGCAAGACCGCGAGGUGGAGCUAAUCCCAUAAAACUAUUCUCAGUUCGGAUUGUAGGCUGCAACUCGCCUACAUGAAGCCGGAAUCACUAGUAAUCGCGGAUCAGCAUGCCGCGGUGAAUACGUUCCCGGGCCUUGUACACACCGCCCGUCACACCACGAGAGUUUGUAACACCCGAAGUCGGUGGGGUAACCUUUUAGGGGCCAGCCGCU